rnacentral:rRNA from 1 species
UUGAAAGGGAAACGAUUGAAGUAGUGUACAGGGGAAAUAANUUUGAGUGGUGUUUUGGAGUUUUGAAGUGUGUAAAANUUUGAGAUUUUAAAAUUUUGUUUUUGGUGUAUUUUGUGGGUAGGUUAAAUGAUUUUGAUAUAUAAAAAGANGGAGGAAUGUAGUUGAUUUGUAUUGAAGUGUUAUAGUUUUGGUAAAUGUGAUGAUUAGGAUGAGGAUUGAAGAAUNCUUUGGGUAUAGGUGAUUUGAUAGUGGNUUGGAUGAAAGUUNNUAUGGUAUAAGGUAUUAGGNAAAAGGUUAGAAGGANAAUCGUUAAGGAUGUUGACGUA